rnacentral:sRNA from 1 species
GCUGGGCAUGGUGGCACAUGCCUGUAAUCCCAGUGGCUCAGGAGGCUUAGGUAUGAGCAUCACGAGUUUAAAGCCAUCCUCAGCAAAAGUGAGGCUUUAAGCAACUCGGUGAGACCUUGUGUCUAAA